UUUUAAUUGUUUCUAGGGCCAUUCUGUCACAAUCUUACCUUAAAAUAUCACAACAUACUACUACUACAGUAACUCAUAAAUAACAUAAACAUUAACAAUAUAACAUAGCAUAAUCUGCAUUUCACUUUUGUUCCUUCAAAUUAGCUAUCAAGACCUAUCAUUUUUUAAUCAUGUACUGUGAUUUAAGUGUUUAUUAAGCACUUUAUAGUAGUAUAUCAUGAAAGCUUCUUGAUAGUACUAUGAGAUGCUUGCUAUUAUGACAGGUUCACAACUAAGAAAACUGAGGUGUAGGAAAUUAGAUAAACAUUUUCAUGUGAUAUAGCUUAGGUGAUGUAUCCUUAUUGCCCAAUCUGGCUACUCCCGAAGUUCAUGUCCUUAACCAGUAUGCUCCCAUGGUGAAUGAUCUUUUCUGGUGAAUGAUCCUCUGAUUGAUGUUAAUUUUUUUUAAAGGUUGUCGUCUCAGUGCUAAACUAAUGGCAUCUCUGUCUGUCACUAUUUCAUAUGGUGAGUUUUCUCCUAAAUAAGACCUUUUCAAUCAGAAGACACAUUAUUUGAGAUAACAGGGAGGGAAGUGCUGAAUGAAAAGUAGAGAAUAUGGGCAAAUGGAGUGUGCCACUCAACCCUGUUUCCAGACACUUUCUGUAUUCAUGUGACCAAGCAGGCUCUAUCCUGACUAUUCCAUGAUAGCCCUCAAAUUUCAAUUCACAUUAACAUAGUUUCUGUACUUCAUCUCUCUUUCUGAAUCUACAAUUAAUAUUUUUUCACAAUAUUGCCUAAUACUGAAAUUUUAUUUCUGAUUUCAUUAACUUUUUUGAAGAAAACUCACAGUUAAUAAAAUUAUGCGUAUUUACCUUAAACCUCCUCCUGUUUCAUCUAUUCCCAGCCUCAUGUGUAGCAGAAACCAGCCUCAACUUAUUCCUUAGCUGCUGCCAGUUCUACUCCACCUCUGGGCUUGAACUUUCCAUAAUAAUUAUUCACAAUUUUGAGUCAUCCAGUAAAAUAAUAUACAUUUUCUUUUAUCACAGUAAAACUUAGCAGCUAAGUUUAUACAGAUCAGUAAACUAUUUGUGGAUUGCCUUCUCAGUGCCUUUUAACCAUGUAAACAGGAGAUCACUGGCUCUGAAGUCAGAGAAUUCUUAUGAAUAGUUUGUUUUAUGAAAUUAUGUGCACCCAUGUUUGGGGCAUAAGUAUUUACAAUCAUUAUAUCUUAUUGUUGGAUUCCCUUUAUGUACAGGUAAUGACCUCCUCUGGUCAUUAAUAAAUUAGGGCUUGAAGUUUGCUUUGUCAGAUAGAGAGUACAAUCAAUAUUAAUAUUAGAAAGUGUGAAAAAAUUGUGUGUAUAAUAAUGAGAAAGAAAAUCAGCCAACCAUGUACUGAGAUAUGAAGAACUGAUAAUUGGAUAUAACAGAAAUGCAGUCAUGGAAAUUAUUAAAGACAUUCAUCAAACAGUUUAAAUGGAAUGAUAGAACAUAAGUUACAGUACAAUGAUUUGUGGUAUUAAAGAGAAAAAUUGGAGCAAGUUAUAGUCUAUAGAUUAGAUUAGCCAUCCAUUAAGAUUGACUAAGAAUAAAAAGAGAAAUAUAAACUACAACAGGUAGAAAUGAAGUUAAGUAUUUUAAAACUAUGGUAAUAUAGUUUUCAUAUUUUCAAUAUACCAAAUAUGUACCCGUGUAAAAUUUAAAAAGUAUAAAAGAUGAUGUAGUGAAAACUAAAUAGAUCACUUACCUAAAAUUCAUCCAUUAAUUUAUUCUACCCAGAGUUAAUCUUAUUACUAGUUUCUUUCUUGUGUAUCCUCCAGAAUGUUUUAAUGUUAUACAUUUAUGUAUUUGUGUAUUUAUGUUUAUUUUAACACAAAUAAUAGCAUGCCACACAUACUCUCCUGUACAUUUUACAAUUAGCAGUACAUCUUAAAUGUUGUUCUGUAUU
rnacentral:lncRNA from 1 species